CCAAUACAUCCUUUUUGCCUUCUUGAUCUAUACCCAAUAUGUUAUACAUGCACUUACUUACACAACAACCGUCUUCUUUCACCUUAAAAAAUCAUGAAUACUAUCGGAUAUAUUGAUUGUAGUGGACGACUACACCAUUCAUUGAUUAUAGGUAGUAAUUUAUCUGUAAUUCCAGAUAUCUCUGCUGCAGAUAUUUUAUGGUCAUAGAUUUCUUCUACAUAUGAUGCUAUACUUGCAUAAGACUUUAAGUUUACUGUAAUCCAUUGAAUUAAUGCUA